GGUGUAGCUCAGUAAGGUAGAGCGUCCGUUCGCGGAAGGCCGCAGGUUCGAUCCCUGCCAUCC
rnacentral:tRNA from 1 species